UUUACUACUACUCCCUCUAACCUUUGUAAAUAUUGCCUAAUAAAACGCACCCCUCCCUAUAUAAUAAUCAAAGUCACCCUAAGUACCGAAAACCAAAAACACCAUAGCCAUUAUAAUAAUAAUGAUGGAAGGAACCACGUGGAGGACCAAGCUUGUUAUCUCUAUCACACUCUUGCCUAUGGCUUCUGAAUCGCCGUUGUUGAGGUUGCUUGGAGCUGAAGCAAGAGGACCAUUUUGCUGUCCUCGCAUGAUAUUCAGUGUGUCAAGGGUUUCCCAACCCUUUGUGACGCCGGAGUUGAUGAUCAUACUCAAAUCUCGCCGUCGCCAAUGGCUUGACUAGGAAUCAUCUCUGUUUUUUUUUUACUGUUAGAUUGAUUUUGGCCUUUUUUUUAAUAUUCAGUGAAUAAAUAAAAUGAGACUUUUAUUU